UUGAUUUUAAAUUAUCAAAUUGAACUGCCUGUGUGACUUAAUUAUUAUAAACACUGAGCACUAUUGCCGUUGCAAAUUAAUCGUAUCUGAGAAUAUCUGAGAAUAUCUGUAAAAGAAAAUUGUCGCGUUGUCCGAUCGGUCUUUCGACAAACAGAACAGUUCAAUAUUCAUAUAUUAUUCAGAUUAUUUAUCAUAUAACAAGUGAAGUUCCGGAGUGCAGUGCAGUGCAAUGCUUUUGAAAACGCAGCGUCAGCCCAUGGUGGAAGGAUGGAGAAAAACGUGCCUGAAAAUAAGAAUUUGGCAAGGGUCGAAAAUCGCGACUAAAAAAUGUCAAAAAUCCGACAUAUGGAGGGAAAAAAAACAAAAAAAAAACAAAAAAAAGGAAACACAGACAAGGGGG